GCUGCGUACUUUAAGGUUGCAGAACCUGAAUUGGGAUACAGCCUAAGGCUGUUCCAAUUCUCAGCACCGAUCCUCUCUUUCACUGAGUCCUUAGCAAAUCUCCUUCCCACGAUGACGUUUCCAUCGAGGCCAAGAAAAAAUAGUUUAGGAAAAGGAGAUAGGCGCUAAUUUCGAAAUUACACCCCACGUGGUUACGUUAUGCAGCUGAGUCACGUGACCGCACAGUAACAAAUCGCCACAGAGUUAGGAAAAGGGGGCGGAGAAAGUGUGUGUGCAGGAGAGCAGUCGAGCAGAGAGAGCUGUUUUUUCAUGAAACGUGAGUAAAGUAGUAAACUUACAGGAACAUAUACCACUACCAACGUUUGGAUCGAUAUCUGCAUCGAUCUGCACACCCUUGUCUCCUGGAUCGUAGCUGAGAUCAGCGUGAACCACGUGGGUCUCUGCUCCCUGAUCUGUUUCCUGUUUGGAAAGACUUCCAGCUUCAUCACGGAGUUUCUCUCGGUUUGUGGGCUCAUCUAAAGCUGAGUAACAGGAGUCUGGUGGUGCAACAGAGGAACAAUUUCAUCCAUUUGGACUCAGCUCAGCCACUACAGAGGAAACAAUCAAUGACUUCAACACAAAAGGACCAACAUGGAGCGAGAAGUCAGCGCUCUCAGGAGGCCGACAAACCUCACAGAAGAAAGG